GGGAUCCAGGUCCUCUGAAUCCGCAGCAUUCAGACAAUGUGCACCUCUGCAGCAGGGGCAGAUCUGGAUCAC
rfam:Branchiostoma floridae genomic scaffold BRAFLscaffold_19, whole genome shotgun sequence.